GGGGGUGUAGCUCAGCUGGUUUAGAGCGCCAGCCUGUCACGUUGGAGGUCGUGGGUUCAAGUCCCAUCACCCUCGCCA
rnacentral:tRNA from 1 species